UCUAACUUCAUAUAAAGAAUUUUAUAGUCCUUUGGAAUUCCAGUGAAAAACCAGUCCUCACUGUUUUUUUUAUAUAUGUUACAGGAGGAGCAUAAAAAAUAUGACGAUAUUAGAAGCGGAUUAGGGAGAGUUAUGUAUCUUAGUACUUCAAGGAUGGGACCCAGCCAUUCACAUUAGGUGCAAGCACAAGGGCCAGCUAAAGAGGCAAGUAAAUCCUUCCUCUUUUUCUGGCUUACUUUGCUGAUAUGUACUCUAUAAGAUCUCGUUCAUUUGUUUCCUAAUCACAUUGUUUCUCGUAUUUACAUCAUUGAUAGUGGCAAGGUUCUUUAUAAGUUAUGAUUAUUUUUUGUAUAUAUUUUUUCUGGGCAGAUAGAAAUAUUUCGGACUGCACUUCUUAAUCAUGGUUAGGAACAGGGAUAAUAAAUCUUGUUAUGCUAGCAGGGAAACAAGUUGGUGGAUUCAACAUUAGGAAAAGAAGUUGGGAAUGGAGAACAUCUAACUUUCAUCAAUACUUCCAUCAGAAAAUUACCACACCCCACGUUUUUCUCACCAAGGAUGCACAGGCUGGUGGACACUGCAGUGAGGAACAAUUCAUUUGAUGAGAUGUUCUUGAUGGUGGGAUUGGUACUCUAUAAGGUAUUUAAGAUACAGGCAUGCACUGAUUCAGCUUGAAUGGAUUGGACCAGAGCUCUUUGUGUUCUCUUCUAGAAGAAGUGUUUGAGAUACAGGCACUGAUUCAGCUUGAAAUGAAUUGGAGUAUGCUUUAUUUCUCUUUGUCUACAUCACACUAAUAGGUGUUAGACAUAAAAUUAUGGCUAAAUUACUAUGUUGGUCUUGUAUCUCUAUUUUAUAUUGUAAGUUAAGCUUCUAUUUGUUAAAAGUUACAAAAUGAUAUUUUAUUUAUUAAAAGUUGUAAAAUGGUUCCUUACAUAAUUUAUUUAUUGUAUCUUUACUUCUGAA